UAUCAUGGGUGCUGUCUGGCUGUGGCAUCUCUUUCCCCAUUGGUUGCCAGUGUGGACUUGACUGAUCUGCCUGGCUAGCCAGCGGCUCCUUCUCCUCUCACCACUUCCUGUGAGUCCUCAAAGCUGUGUGUUUAGUUGAAGAGGGGCCCAUUCCUACGCAGGGUCUGAGAAGGUGUGUGUUAUAGCUGCACUCCCGUGUUAGCGCUCAUGACAGGUAGCAUGUAGUAAAUGGAUCCCUGGUCCAUGGCAGAAGGAGGUAAAAUGUUGUUACUUUCGAAAGCUUGGCAACUACU
rnacentral:snRNA from 1 species